rnacentral:rRNA from 1 species
AGAGUUUGAUCAUGGCUCAGGAUGAACGCUAGCUACAGGCUUAACACAUGCAAGUCGAGGGGCAGCAUGGUCUUAGCUUGCUAAGGCCGAUGGCGACCGGCGCACGGGUGAGUAACGCGUAUCCAACCUGCCUUACACUCUUGGACAGCCUUCUGAAAGGGAGAUUAAUACAAGAUGUUAUCAUGAGUAAGCAUUUUCGCAUGAUUAAAGGUUUACCGGUGUAAGAUGGGGAUGCGUUCCAUUAGAUAGUAGGCGGGGUAACGGCCGACCUAGUCUUCGAUGGAUAGGGGUUCUGGAGAGGAAGGUCCCCCAGACUUGGAACUGAGACACGGUCCAAACGUCCUACGGGAGCA